rnacentral:rRNA from 1 species
AAUGAACGCUGGCGGCAUGCCUUACACAUGCAAGUCGAACGGCAGCACGGACUUCGGUCUGGUGGCGAGUGGCGAACGGGUGAGUAAUAUAUCGGAACAUACCUUGUAGUGGGGGAUAACUAUCCGAAAGGAUAGCUAAUACCGCAUACGCUCUAAGGAGGAAAGUGGGGGAUCGCAAGACCUCAUGCUAUAAGAGUGGCCGAUAUCUGAUUAGCUAGUUGGUGAGGUAAAGGCUCACCAAGGCGACGAUCAGUAGCUGGUCUGAGAGGACGACCAGCCACACUGGAACUGAGACACGGUCCAGACUCCUACGGGAGGCAGCAGUGGGGAAUUUUGGACAAUGGGGGCAACCCUGAUCCAGCAAUGCCGCGUGAGUGAAGAAGGCCUUCGGGUUGUAAAGCUCUUUUGUCAGGGAAGAAACGGUUGUGGCUAAUAUCCAUGGCUAAUGACGGUACCUGAAGAAUAAGCACCGGCUAACUACGUGCCAGCAGCCGCAGUAA